UACGGGGGGAGCAAGCGUUGUUCGGAUUUACUGGGCGUAAAGGGCGCGUAGGCGGUCGUGACAAGUCACUUGUGAAAUCUCCGGGCUUAACUCGGAACGGUCAAGUGAUACUGUCGGACUAGAGUACAGAAGGGGCAACUGGAAUUCUCGGUGUAGCGGUGAAAUGCGUAGAUAUCGAGAGGAACACCAGUGGCGAAGGCGAGUCCCUGGACAAUACCUGACACUGAGGCACGAAAGCUAGGGGAGCAAACAGG
rnacentral:rRNA from 1 species